rnacentral:rRNA from 1 species
AAGCGCAGUAAUGCGUUAAGCUAACCAGUACUAAUUGCCCGUGCGGCUUGACCCU